rnacentral:rRNA from 1 species
UUCUCUCUAGCGAGACAGCCUCCCGCAAGGANGANGAAGGUGGGGACGACGUCAAGUCAUCAUGNCCCUUAUGUCCAGGGNUACACACACGCUACAAUGGCCGGUACAAUGGGUUGCCAAAUCGUGAGAUGGAACCAAUCCCANGAAAGCCGGCCCCACUUGGAAUUGCAUGCUGAAACCCGCCUGCAUGAACUCGNAAUCGUUAAUAACCGCANGUCAGCAUACUGCGAUGAAUACGUUCCCGGGCCUUGCACACA